rnacentral:rRNA from 1 species
CCUACGGGCGGCAGCAGUGGGGAAUAUUGGGCAAUGGGCGCAAGCCUGACCCAGCAACGCCGCGUGAAGGAUGAAGGCUUUCGGGUUGUAAACUUCUUUUGACAGGGAAGAGUAGAAGACGGUACCUGUCGAAUAAGCCCCGGCUAACUACGUGCCAGCAGCCGCGGUAAUACGUAGGUGGCAAGCGUUUUCCGGAUUUACUGGGUGGAAAGGGCGUGUAGCCGGGUUGACAAGUCAGAUGUGAAAUCCUCCGGCUUAACCGCAGAACUGCAUUUGAAACUGUUGAUCUUGAGUACUGGAGAGGCAGACGGAAGUCCUAGUGUAGCGGUGAAAUGCGUAGAUAUUAGGAGGAACACCAGUGGCGAAGGCGGUCUGCUGGACAGCAACUGACGGUGAGGCGCGAAAGCGUGGGGAGCAAACAGGAUUAGAUACCCUUGUAGUC